rnacentral:rRNA from 1 species
GGCUCAUGACGAACGCUGGCGGCGUGCUUAACACAUGCAAGUCGAACGGAAAGGCCCUGCUUUUGUGGGGUGCUCGAGUGGCGAACGGGUGAGUAACACGUGAGUAACCUGCCCUUGACUUUGGGAUAACUUCAGGAAACUGGGGCUAAUACCGGAUAGGAGCUCCUGCUGCAUGGUGGGGGUUGGAAAGUUUCGGCGGUUGGGGAUGGACUCGCGGCUUAUCAGCUUGUUGGUGGGGUAGUGGCUUACCAAGGCUUUGACGGGUAGCCGGCCUGAGAGGGUGACCGGCCACAUUGGGACUGAGAUACGGCCCAGACUCCUACGGGAGGCAGCAGUGGGGAAUAUUGCACAAUGGGCGGAAGCCUGAUGCAGCAACGCCGCGUGCGGGAUGACGGCCUUCGGGUUGUAAACCGCUUUCGCCUGUGACGAAGCGUGAGUGACGGUAAUGGGUAAAGAAGCACCGGCUAACUACGUGCCAGCAGCCGCGGUGAUACGUAGGGUGCGAGCGUUGUCCGGAUUUAUUGGGCGUAAAGGGCUCGUAGGUGGUUGAUCGCGUCGGAAGUGUAAUCUUGGGGCUUAACCCUGAGCGUGCUUUCGAUACGGGUUGACUUGAGGAAGGUAGGGGAGAAUGGAAUUCCUGGUGGAGCGGUGGAAUGCGCAGAUAUCAGGAGGAACACCAGUGGCGAAGGCGGUUCUCUGGGCCUUUCCUGACGCUGAGGAGCGAAAGCGUGGGGAGCGAACAGGCUUAGAUACCCUGGUAGUCCACGCUGUAAACGGUGGGUACUAGGUGUGGGGUCCAUUCCACGGGUUCCGUGCCGUAGCUAACGCUUUAAGUACCCUGCCUGGGGAGUACGGCCGCAAGGCUAAAACUCAAAGGAAUUGACGGGGCCCCGCACAAGCGGCGGAGCAUGCGGAUUAAUUCGAUGCAACGCGUAGAACCUUACCUGGGUUUGACAUGGAUCGGGAGUGCUCAGAGAUGGGUGUGCCUCUUUUGGGGUCGGUUCACAGGUGGUGCAUGGCUGUCGUCAGCUCGUGUCGUGAGAUGUUGGGUUAAGUCCCGCAACGAGCGCAACCCUUGUUCACUGUUGCCAGCACGUUAUGGUGGGGACUCAGUGGAGACCGCCGGGGUCAACUCGGAGGAAGGUGGGGAUGACGUCAAGUCAUCAUGCCCCUUAUGUCCAGGGCUUCACGCAUGCUACAAUGGCUGGUACAGAGAGUGGCGAGCCUGUGAGGGUGAGCGAAUCUCGGAAAGCCGGUCUCAGUUCGGAUUGGGGUCUGCAACUCGACCUCAUGAAGUCGGAGUCGCUAGUAAUCGCAGAUCAGCAACGCUGCGGUGAAUACGUUCCCGGGGCUUGUACACACCGCCCGUCAAGUCAUGAAAGUUGGUAACACCCGAAGCCGGUGGCCUAACCGUUGUGGGGGAGCCGUCGAAGGUGGGACUGGUGAU